AAGAAAAAAAUAAAAGGGGAAAGUAGGUAGACGACCAAUUUUAGAGAGCUGAUGGUUGGUGAAAAUCAGUGUUGGCUUUAUCGAAUUCCACCCUUUUUAAUAUUUCCGGUGAAAUUAAAAUAUCCGGAAACACAUCUUAAGAUGCGUUAAACAAUCAGCCAAUGAAGGAUAGGAUAUUUUCCUAUUGAAUCAGGGUGGCACCACGUGAUUAAACUCUCGUCCCUAGU
rnacentral:ncRNA from 1 species